CACCGAGUCAUGUCAGAGCAGCCCUCAGCUGGCAAGCUGACCCCAGGGCUGCGCCGCCCUGGCUCAACGUGCUAUGGUCAUGCACACAUGUUGCAACGUGCCCAUUUGUAAAUACUGCUCCUGGGAGCAAUAAACUCCAGUGCAAACUGAACCAGAGCUUUUCGUGGCAUUAAUAUUCAUGUGUUGAUGCACUCACUGUUGUCUAAAAAAAUGUAAAAGCCUCUAGCCAAGUACACUUUUUAGUUACUUUGGUUAAAAAGAAACCUUUCCCCAGUGUGAACUGGUAUUAAGUAUAUGGUUGCCUUCUAAACUUGCAGAUGGAGAGACUUAAUGUCUCUGCUCCUACUCAGUAGGCUUUCCAAGUUUCAACAGACAGAGAACUGAGCAGCCUCUACUUGUUUUUCCAUAAUGCUACUGGGAUCUCUAUAGACAGCAGUGAUAUUUAUAAGGAUCAGGUCAGUUUUAUUCUGUAGCUGCAGAUGCAGACACUGGGCUGUUCACAAUAGAGAAGGACCAUAAACACAAAGUUAAGGAGAGUUUAAAUAGCAAAGAUGCCAAGACACCAUUUGCAAGAGCCAAGAACCUGACAGCAGAAUGAAGUAAUAGAGAUUUCCCCAGAACUGGAAUGGAGGAUCAGUAGCUUUGAAGUUGAUAGCGAGUUAAAAAUUGAGUCAAUAUUUGGAAGUUAGCUUACACAGGGAGUACAAGACACGCCCAACCCUUUCUUAUGUUGGAAAAAGAUGACAAAAAGAGAGAACUUGUGUCCAGGAGACAUGACUUCUUGGGUAGAGAUUUUAGCAACUGGAAAAUGAUGGUGGAGGAUAUUUAGCUUUCCAGUGCAAUAUUGUUUCUGGCAAGUGGGUCCUUCAAUGCUAGCAAAGAUCUUUAGCUACAGCCUUAGUCCUACAUUCACGAAUUGGUUUCUAAGUGUAUUUUUCUAGCACGCUGAAUAAUUUACCUGACGUGCAUCACAUCAAGAACUAGAUCUGUAAGCAGGGUUAGAGGAAAAAAAAGAAGCACUUCCACACAUCCUAGCCCCUCAGUCCAAACACCAUGAGCAUGUAAGUUAAUAGUUAUUUAUUCCUCACAAAAUGGUUAUUUAUUCCUCACUGUAUUAGCUUUAAUACCUAGUCAAUUGGCUACCUUAUUUCCAAGAGUGUAGAACACAAGCAGUAGCCUAGCUAUAACUACAUCAGUCUGGUGCAUAUUUUGCAAACUGUUCAUUUUUCCCUAUCUGGAUAGUCCUACUGUGAGGAAUACCUGUCAGGACUAUGUGGUUGUAGGUACCUCUGAUCUUAAAGGAGAGGCAGUUUCAUGUUCAUGAUAAAAGAGUUCACAUAGAAAAAAAGAGAAGGCCACACUUGGAAAUAUGCAGAGGAAGGAACAGAGUCUGUUCCUGCAUCACUUUCAAGAUUUUUACUAACUUUCUCACAAAUCAUAAAUACUAGAAAUUCAUGAAAUUCUCUUCACAACAUAUCAGUAUAAUUUGGAAGUAUGAAAUUACACAGGCAAGAUCAUAAAGAAAACUUUCACUUGGUCCCUGUACAGCCAUCCCCUGGAGAAGCUUCUUUAAAAUGGAGAGUGAAUUAAUAAUUUCUUUAGACUAUAAAAAAGAUGAGCGUGCAUGAAAGAUGGAUUGGGUGGAUGCUUUCAGAGUGGAGUGGAAUCAUGGGAAAAAAUAUAAUUAGCCUUAAGUGUUUUAAAUGCACACUUAAAAAUAAUUUGAGUUUUUUACUAAAAGUGGAAUCUUAAUUGGAAUUUCCAGACUGUUAGUUUUUAAAGAAAAAAGCACUGUUUUGGCAGGUUUUUGUCUGAAAAGCCAUGGGGUCCUUCAAACUUAAUUCCAGAUUAAUGAAGACUUUUUACCUGGGAAUUAUACAUGAAUUUCUGUAGAAACAUAUUCAAUUUGGACACUACAAAAAUAUUAGAUAGUAUUAGAUAACAGUACUACUAAUAAUUUACAUGUUUUGUGCUACAUUUAAGUAAUAAUGCCAGUUGAAAAUUAUUUUUAAAUCAAAAAAUGAAUGGAUUCUGAAAAACAGAGGAAGAAGAUGAAUCUGUUGGAAAACAGAACUGUAGUGUAUCAUUUUGAAUUCUGAUGUCCUCCCAUUUCAGAGCUUGAAAAUGGGGAGAAAAGAGAGAAUAAAAUUAAGCAGAUCCAUUGUGUAUAAUUCAUGCUGUCAGACACUUCCUGAAUUAAAA